rnacentral:lncRNA from 1 species
AGUUCAAAAGAUAUGCAAGUAUGAUUAAUAACACAUCUGUUUUACCUUUUCUUCCAAUUUUAUGAUACACAUCUGGUGAACUUUUUAAUAUUCUUAAGACAAAUAAAGAUCGCCCUUACUGAAUUGAAGGGAUGAAAGCACGGUCCUCCUCCCCGCCCGUCCACGUUCAUGUCCCAGACUCAACAUCUGUGCAUGUCCACCUGAAGAAGAGUCCACAGAAGAGCCAGCAGGGGAAAGUGAAGCCAUUUACGAUCCACAGCCAGUGUGAAGGUCCGAGCUCCCUGGGUUCCUCCUGGAAAGGCUUCAAGACGAAGAGAAUACAAAUGGGAGGGGGCUACUCGUGGCUUGGACAUAACCAGGGACGGGCCACUGACCCUUCUUCACCUCCUCUGCAGCUCACUGACCUGUCCAGUAAAGAGGUCGAUGCGAGAGGAGUAAUCGACAAAUAUGAGAGAAAAAUUGAAAGUCUAAUGUCAGAGGUUGAUUGUAUAAAAAGUGAGGUGAAGUUACGGCAGGCAGAGGACCACUUAAAGCACCAGUCACAGCAGUUGAGCGCC